rnacentral:misc_RNA from 1 species
UAUCCAAAUUGAUAGACUGGGGCCCUGUCAGACACAUUAAGAAAUGGCAUCUCUCGCAUAAACAUAUGGGAGAAGCUUGAGGAAAAAGACAACACUUUCUGUAGCAAAUAGUUCAAUUAGUUCAAAUCACUAAGCACCCAAGGUUUAAGUCUUUCUUAAGGCACCUUUCCAGUGUCACCAUUUCAAAGGUAUAAAAAAAAUAGUUUAAAUUAUAUAAACUACAAAAGUACAAGUCACAGAAAAAUUCAGCAUUCUCAAGGACUAACUAAAAACAAUUUCCAUUAGAAAAGCAGUGCUAACCAUAACACAUUAUCAUCAUGCAAAAGAGGCCCUUAGUUUUGAAUCCAGUUCCAAUUAGCUAGCAGACUGUUCUUAAUGUAUAUGAAAAUUGGAGGAAAAUAGUAGCUUUAUUCUUCAAAUAAACAAUAAUACAGUUAGAGAUCAAGCACUCACUUGAUGAGGGUACAGAAGCAUAUGAAGCUUGUUCCUCUUUAAGAAA